rnacentral:rRNA from 1 species
GCGAAACUGCGAAUGGCUCAUUAAAUCAGUUAUCGUCUAUUUGAUAGUACCUUACUACUCGGAUAACCGUGGUAAUUCUAGAGCUAAUACGUGCUGAAAACCCCGACUUCGGAAGGGGUGUAUUUAUUAGAUUAAAAGCCAAUGCCCCCCGGGGCCCCUUGGUGAUUCAUGAUAACUCCUCGAAUCGCACGGCCUUGCGCCGGCGAUGGUUCAUUCAAAUUUCUGCCCUAUCAACUUUCGACGGCUGGGUCUUGGCCAGCCGUGGUGACAACGGGUAACGGAGGGUUAGGGCUCGACCCCGGAGAAGGAGCCUGAGAAACGGCUACUACAUCCAAGGAAGGCAGCAGGCGCGCAAAUUACCCAAUCCCGACGCGGGGAGGUAGUGACAAUAAAUACUGAUACAGGGCUCUUUCGGGUCUUGUAAUUGGAAUGAGUACAAUUUAAUUCCCUUAACGAGGAACAAUUGGAGGGCAAGUCUGGUGCCAGCAGCCGCGGUAAUUCCAGCUCCAAUAGCGUAUAUUAAAGUUGUUGCAGUUAAAAAGCUCGUAGUUGAACCUUGGGCCUGGCUGGCCGGUCCGCCUCACCGCGUGCACUGGUCCGGCCGGGCCUUUCCCUCUGGGGAACCGCAUGCCCUUCGCUGGGCGUGCCGGGGAACCAGGACGUUUACUUUGAAAAAAUUAGAGUGUUCAAAGCAGGCUUAUGCUCGGAUACAUUAGCAUGGAAUAAUGGAAUAGGACGUGCGGUUCUAUUUUGUUGGUUUCUAGGACCGCCGUAAUGAUUAAUAGGGACAGUCGGGGGCAUCCGUAUUCAGUUGUCAGAGGUGAAAUUCUUGGAUCUACUGAAGACGAACUACUGCGAAAGCAUUUGCCAAGGAUGUUUUCAUUAAUCAGGAACGAAAGUUAGGGGAUCGAAGACGAUCAGAUACCGUCGUAGUCUUAACCAUAAACUAUGCCGACUAGGGAUCGGACGGUGUUGCUUUUUGACCCGUUCGGCACCUUGCACGAAAGUACAAGUUUUUGGG